rnacentral:lncRNA from 1 species
UUUUUUUUUUUUUUUUUUUUUUUUUUGGGGUGGUAGUAGAGAGGACAAGGAGAAAACCAAGAGCCACCAUAUCCUGAUAAAUUAUAACAUGCCUUUCUAAAAUUUUCCUCUUUAAUGGCUUCUUCCUGUUUUCUUUCAUCACUGUUGUUAAUACAUAAAACAUUACCAGAAACAUGAAAUCAUGGCACCUAAAAGGAUAUCAACAACUACACUUGAUUUAUGGCCUCUUAAUAGUUAAUGGUAGAAAUAAUUCUCAGCAUUUUGUUAAUGCUAUUGAUUAGACAUAGUGUACUUAAAAAUAAAAUUCAAAAAUUCUCAAAAGAAUAUUUUGUCUAAAAUAUCACUUUCUACAUUUAUACACACACAUAUCAUAUACACAGGUAUUUAUUCAUUCAGCAUCCAGAAAAUCUUAUGCAAUUGCCAUGACUUUUUUAUGAUUUGUACUAAACUGAAGAGUCAAAUAAAAAUAGGACACCAUUUCAAUAUCUUAUGUAAACUCAUAGGCAAAUAGGGGAAAAGAAGAAAGUAGCAACUGAAAAACUAAUCUAAAAUCUUUGCUUCAAAAAACAAGUAAUUUUUCUUCAAGUUGGCUAAAUAGUUUAUUCUUAUUAGUUGUGUAUAGUAUAUAUCACAUUUGAAUAGAUGAAUAGGAAAGACUUGCAGUGAAAUUUCAAAUUAUCAUAGUAGGAAGCUGCCCUAAUUCUUUUCCACUGCUUUUUUUUUUUUUUCCCCCAGUCAGGAAAAACAUUCGUAAAAUGGUACCUCCCUGAACUCUGUUAUCCCUCAGAUGUUAAGGUCACGGAGAAUCAUUUCAACCCAAGUCUCUUUAAAUUUAAAUAUAGGACUCAAUUUUUAAGAGAUUCCAAUAAAGGAUGGGGGGGGGUAUGUGGGUGGGUAGGAAUUGGGGAUACAGUCCCCUCUCUGAUAAUCUGAGCAAAAAAGGCUGUGCUUAAAGUUUUGAGCCAUAAAUUGUGUUGGUGCUUCUCAUCUUCCCUGUAUCAAAACUGCCUGUGUGCAUGAAGGCUGAUGAAAAUGGAAGUUAUGUUCUCCCUCCUUCCAUUACUUAUUUUGUAUCUCUCUGCCCACUUUGUGGCUUGAGUUAUUCAAGUAUAUAGGUUCCUGUAGUAGAUUGUCACAGGUUCCUUACAAACCAGUGGCGUAUGUAAACCACCUUGAAGAGGAUGCCUGUUCCAAGACAAUGAGCAUCAGAUAGGGAAUAAUGAAGGAAGGUGCUGAAUCUAAGCUAAAAGUGGAGAAGGAAAAAGAUCAUUAAGACUGACUAAACUGUUUCAAUUCUAACAGAAGAAUAAUCUUUUUCACUGUCAAUUUUUAAAAGGCUAUUAAAAGUAUUAAUGCCAAAGAUAAAUACAAUUCUAUGGGAGUUCCCACUGGGGCUCAGCAGUAGCAAACCCGACCAGUAUCCAAAGGAUAUGAGUUUGAUCCCUGGCCUCGCUCAGUGGGUUAAGUAUCCAGCAUUGCCAGGAACUGUGGUGUAGGUCAGACACAGCUCAGAUUCUGUGUUGCUGUGGCUGUGGCAUAAGCCAGGAGCUGCAUUUCCAGUUUGACCCCUAGCCUGGGAAUUACCAUAAGUCACAUGUGUGCUUCUGAAAAGCAAAAAAAAAAACAAGUCUUCUUCAUGAUUUGGACCAAAUCAAACCUCUUCCAUGAAAUUAUAGAAUUUAAACUUUGUCUAACUGUGGGGGUAAAUCAGAAACUUUUCUAUUUAUAAGGUUUUGAAGAUGAGUCAUUUGGGUUAUAAAUCAGUUUUAAAAAUUUUUAUAAUAAAACGUAUAGUAGACCUGUUGUAAACAAUUUGAGGAAUUCAAGUACACUGAGCCUCAUACAUUUUCUUGUCUAAUGAGUCACACACAGUCACAUAUAUUCAACAUAUUCCAGGACAAUUCUAAACGUGCUUGCUUCCUAUGAAAACACGUCUAUUUAGGUGAUUACUUUACUGACACUGGAAGAAUAUUCUGGUCAUUAUGUCCAGCCUUAUUUCUGAAUUUUCUUUUGAAGUAUAUUUGUACAUUGAAGGUAAAUAUACAUAGAGAAAACAAUUUAGCAUAAAAAGGUAGAAAAUAUGCCUACAUACCUAAGGCCUUCGAAAAUAAUCAUGCCGCUUAUGUACUGAUGACUGUUUAGAUAAUACAUUUUUACUUUGCAGGAACAUAUAGUUUAAGCUUUGUAUUUGCAAAUCAGGGCAUAAAAGGGGGCCUUUAUCAUAAUAUCUACUAUGAUAAAGCUAUGGCUCCCUUCAUUUGAGGGGUUCAUCAAGCGUACACAAAUUUGGAUGUGUGGUAAAAAUAUUUCAUGCAUAGCUGAUGUGUACCUUUAAAUAUUGGGGCUCUCUUCCAUGUUCUUAUCAGUAACAGCCACUCUCUGAAAAAAGGGCCCAGAUAUACAGUGGAGUGAAUGUGGAUUUUAAAUGGAGUGUGUUACUCCUUCCCACUCUACUGAAUGAACUGUUAAAAGACCAAGAAGGCUGUCAUAGAGAUAUCACAGGAAAUAAAGAACUCCAAGCCAAGGGUGUGUCCAAUGGGGUUGGCAUGGAAUGACAGACCGCCCUCCCCACAUGGAAAAUCUCGUCACCCAUCUGAGAUAUCACAUAACGGUGGCAGCGCUCCAGAGACAGAAUGAGCUCCACCUGUUUGCAAUGUGUUUAGCUAUUAAUAUUUAUGUAGUAAUUCAAGGGAGUAAAAAAUGACAAAAUGAACCAAGUUGUAUCACUGUUGGUGCUUUCAACCAAGAUUU